UUACCUAGGCUUGACAUGCAGAGGACAGCACCAGAAAUGGUGCCUCUCGUAAGAGUCUCUGCACAGGUGCUGCAUGGCUGUCGUCAGCUCGUGCCGUGAGGUGUUGGGUUAAGUCCCGCAACGAGCGCAACCCUUAUCGUUAGUUGCCAACACGUGAAGGUGGGAACUCUAACGAGACUGCCUGGGUUAACCAGGAGGAAGGUGAGGAUGACGUCAAGUCAGCAUGGCCCUUAUGCCUAGGGCUACACACGUGCUACAAUGGUCGGUACAGAAGGCAGCGAGGCCGCGAGGUGGAGCAAAUCCUAAAAAAGCCGGCCUCAGUUCAGAUUGUAGUCUGCAACUCGACUACAUGAAGUUGGAAUUGCUAGUAAUGGCGAGUCAGCUACAUCGCCGUGAAUACGUUCCCGGGUCUU
rnacentral:rRNA from 1 species